UAAGGAAUAUUGGUCAAUGGACGCAAGUCUGAACCAGCCAUGCCGCGUGAAGGAUGAAGGUCCUCUGGAUUGUAAACUUCUUUUAUCUGGGACGAAAACGGGAUUUUUAUCUCAAUUGACGGUACCAGAGGAAUAAGCACCGGCUAACUCCGUGCCAGCAGCCGCGGUAAUACGGAGGGUGCGAGCGUUAUCCGGAUUUACUGGGUUUAAAGGGUGCGUAGGUGGGCUUAUAAGUCAGUGGUGAAAUCUCCGAGCUUAACUUGGAAACUGCCGUUGAUACUAUAGGUCUUGAAUUAUCUGGAGGUAAGCGGAAGAUGUCAUGUAGCGGUGAAAUGCUUAGAUAUGACAUAGAACACCAAUUGCGAAGGCAGGUUACUACAUAUAAAUUGACGCUGAGGCACGAAAGCGUGGGG
rnacentral:rRNA from 1 species